rnacentral:rRNA from 1 species
CCUACGGGAGGCAGCAGUGAGGAAUAUUGGUCAAUGGACGCGAGUCUGAACCAGCCAAGUAGCGUGAAGGAUGACUGCCCUAUGGGUUGUAAACUUCUUUUAUAUGGGAAUAAAGUUGUCCACGUGUGGAUUUUUGUAUGUACCAUAUGAAUAAGGAUCGGCUAACUCCGUGCCAGCAGCCGCGGUAAU